GGAAAGAGGUUUCAGGGAGAAAUGCAGCUAAAGAAGAGCUAGUAAAACUUCUCCUUGCUUGUUUUCUUGGGAUAUAUCCACAUGGCAGCCACCCACAGAAAUGUCCAUUACCAGGGAAAAGUGUAGGAGUGAAAUGUGCAUUUUCUUACAAUGAGCACCACCAGAAGAGGCAGAGGGAAGAAAUCAUUCCUUGUGAACAGAUGCCUGGGAGCUGAUGCUGCAGAUUGGAGCACAACAUGGCGUAAGAAGCCCAUCAGCACAAAGCUAUUACCUACCGGACCUCCAUUAUCAGCCAUCUUAUCAAUCAACUCUCCCUCUCUCUCAGCUACAAAAGAAGCUGCUGCUUCCUUCCCUACCUUCAAAUGCUGCUGCAGUGACUUGACAAGACCUUACCAUGGUUCGAACUGCUUGUAUUAAAUAUAUAUAUAUAUAUAUAUAUAUAUAUAUAUAACCCUUUCAUGCGUGUAUUUAUGUAUAUAAAGGAAUAUGCAAAUGCUGAUAUUUUAUCUACCAUUUUAUUGCAUCUUUAAAGAGAAUUAUUCUUUUUGCCAUCGUUGCCUGUGCCAUUAU